rnacentral:rRNA from 1 species
CGUAGGGGCCGAGCGUUGUCCGGAAUUACUGGGCGUAAAGCGCGCGCAGGCGGCGUUCUAAGCCCGACGUGAAAGCCCCCGGCUCAACCGGGGAGGGUCGUCGGGGACUGGGGCGCUUGAGGGCGGUAGGGGCCGGUGGAAUUCCCGGUGUAGUGGUGAAAUGCGUAGAGAUCGGGAGGAACACCAGUAGCGAAGGCGGCCGGCUGGGCCGACCCUGACGCUGAGGCGCGAAGGCGUGGGGAGCGAACGGGAUUAGAUACCCCGGUAGUCCACGCAGUAAACGAUGCAGACUAGGCGUGGGGGGACUUGACCCCCUCCGUGCCGCAGCCAACGCGACAAGUCUGCCGCCUGGGGAGUACGGCCGCAAGGCUA